rnacentral:rRNA from 1 species
UACGUAGGGUGCAAGCGUUAAUCGGAAUUACUGGGCGUAAAGCGUGCGCAGGCGGUUUUGUAAGUUUGUCGUGAAAGCCCCGGGCUCAACCUGGGAAUUGCGAUGAAGACUGCAAGGCUUGAAUCUGGCAGAGGGGGGUAGAAUUCCACGUGUAGCAGUGAAAUGCGUAGAGAUGUGGAGGAACACCGAUGGCGAAGGCAGCC